ACUGUAGUUAACCAAAAGCUUGAGAGAAUAUUAAAGUUUUGUGUUUUUUUUUUUUUUAAAUGUUGACACAGUGAUGUACCUCUGGUCCAAACGCCGCUUGUUAAUACCACAGUAACAGUAAGUGAAGACACCAGACCUGGAUCUGAUUCUGGGAACAGCUUGAAGACCUCUGUCUGAUGACCUGAGAGGCCUGAUGAUCAAUGAUCAAUGACACAGAUAAAUCUGAAUGGAGGGAACUUCUGCAAUCUCUGGUGUCUUCGUGGACUCCUCGUCUGACAAUUUCUUCUGUACUGAGGCCGCUGUGAGGUCUCACGCAGUCAGCAAGUAAAUUACUUUACUUUCAAUUUCAUAAAAAAACUAUCAUUUUUAUUGUAUAAGUAAGAGUGAACUGGCAAACCAAGAAAACCACCACACCUGCAGAAGUGACUCAAAUGUUAGUAAAGUAACUUGUAGUUUGACCAUGAAGUGACCAAAACAUUAUUACCACAGAAUCUGAAAUUCAAAAGGCAGCUGGUGAAGAAUGGACUGUUGGACUGUUAUUAUUUAGAUAGUCAUUCAAUAUAGAAUCUGUUUUUUUGUUUUUUUUUGGAAAUAACUACAUUUUGUUUAUGAUGCUCAGCUAAAGGAAACAAGACUGCACCAGCUGUCUCACUUAAUUUAAUUUUAAAGGGGACAUAUCAUGAAAAACUCUCAUUUUCAGUCAUGGUGUACAACCAUUUGAGUAUCUGGAGGGCCGACCAACCCAAAACCUGAAAUAAAAUAACCCAGCCAGUUAUUUGUGGGCGUCCUCAAUCUGAUGUAAUUCAACAAGCCAUUCAGAUUCAGCUCCUCUUCUAUGUCACAUGCAGGCUCAUUAGAAUAUACUGCUCCUCAUCUCCACCAUGGAUGUAUUAUAAGCUAUUUCCAUUUCGGCACCCUUUAUCCAAUCUGUCCGUUCAUAUCGACUGUGAUCAUGAGCGGAGCAGCAGCGCCAGCCCGCGCACUGCAGCGAUCGUUUCGGCAUCUCCUCUAUUUCUUUGGCGAGCUGCGAGCAAAUGUGUCAAGCCAGGAAGGUAAUCAUGUACAGGAAGGCUACAGCACAGCCGCAUACUUUACAAAAUGGAACAAAU